rnacentral:snRNA from 1 species
UCGCUUUGGCAGCACAUAUACUAAAACUGGAACAAUACAGAGAAAACUAGAAUGACCGCUGCGCAAGGAUGAUAUGCAAAUUUGUGAAGCAUUCCAUUUUUAU